AGAGUUUGAUCCUGGCUCAGAUUGAACGCUGGCGGCAUGCCUUACACAUGCAAGUCGAACGGCAGCACGGGGGCAACCCUGGUGGCGAGUGGCGAACGGGUGAGUAAUGCAUCGGAACGUGCCCAGUAGUGGGGGAUAACCAAUCGAAAGAUUGGCUAAUACCGCAUACGACCCACGGGUGAAAGCGGGGGAUCGCAAGA
rnacentral:rRNA from 1 species